rnacentral:rRNA from 1 species
GUCUACAGCCAUACCACCAUGAAUGUGCCUGAUGAUCUUGUCUGAUCUUGGAAGCUAAGCAGAGUUGGGUCUGCUAAAUACU